AAUCCAUAGGUUAAUGAGGCGAACCGGGGGAACUGAAACAUCUAAGUACCCCGAGGAAAAGAAAUCAACCGAGAUUCCCCCAGUAGCGGCGAGCGAACGGGGAGGAGCCCAGAGCCUGAAUCAGCAUGUGUGUUAGUGGAAGCGUCUGGAAAGGCGCGCGAUACAGGGUGACAGCCCCGUACACAAAAGCGCAUGUGCUGUGAGCUCGAUGAGUAGGGCGGGACACGUGGUAUCCUGUCUGAAUAUGGGGGGACCAUCCUCCAAGGCUAAAUACUCCUGACUGACCGAUAGUGAACCAGUACCGUGAGGGAAAGGCGAAAAGAACCCCGGCGAGGGGAGUGAAAAAGAACCUGAAACCGUGUACGUACAAGCAGUGGGAGCCCCACCACCAAAGCGUUUCGCUUUGUGUGGUGCACAAAGAAGCGUAACGACAGCACUGAAUGACGGUUAACGGAGCGCAAGCGACGUUCAACAUACAAAGUCAAGCAGUGGAGCGCUUUGGGGUGGGGUGACUGCGUACCUUUUGUAUAAUGGGUCAGCGACUUAUAUUCUGUAGCAAGGUUAACCGAAUAGGGGAGCCGGAGGGAAACCGAGUCUUAAUUGGGCGUUAAGUUGCAGGGUAUAGACCCGAAACCCGGUGAUCUAGCCAUGGGCAGGUUGAAGGUUGGGUAACACUAACUGGAGGACCGAACCGACUAAUGUUGAAAAAUUAGCGGAUGACCUGUGGCUGGGGGUGAAAGGCCAAUCAAACCGGGAGAUAGCUGGUUCUCCCCGAAAGCUAUUUAGGUAGCGCCUCGUGAAUUCAUCUCCGGGGGUAGAGCACUGUUUCGGCUAGGGGGCCAUCCCGGCUUACCAACCCGAUGCAAACUGCGAAUACCGGAGAAUGUUAUCACGGGAGACACACGGCGGGUGCUAACGUCCGUCGUGAAGAGGGAAACAACCCAGACCGCCAGCUAAGGUCCCAAAGUCAUGGUUAAGUGGGAAACGAUGUGGGAAGGCCCAGACAGCCAGGAUGUUGGCUUAGAAGCAGCCAUCAUUUAAAGAAAGCGUAAUAGCUCACUGGUCGAGUCGGCCUGCGCGGAAGAUGUAACGGGGCUAAACCAUGCACCGAAGCUGCGGCAGCGACGCUUAUGCGUUGUUGGGUAGGGGAGCGUUCUGUAAGCCUGCGAAGGUGGCCUGUGAGGGUUGCUGGAGGUAUCAGAAGUGCGAAUGCUGACAUAAGUAACGAUAAAGCGGGUGAAAAGCCCGCUCGCCGGAAGACCAAGGGUUCCUGUCCAACGUUAAUCGGGGCAGGGUGAGUCGACCCCUAAGGCGAGGCCGAAAGGCGUAGUCGAUGGGAAACGGGUUAAUAUUCCCGUACUUGGUGUUACUGCGAAGGGGGGACGGAGAAGGCUAUGUUGGCCGGGCGACGGUUGUCCCGGUUUAAGCGUGUAGGUGUGUGUUCCAGGUAAAUCCGGUU
rnacentral:rRNA from 1 species